rnacentral:rRNA from 1 species
GUGAGGAAUUUUCCGCAAUGGGCGAAAGCCUGACGGAGCAAUGCCGCGUGAAGGAUGAAGGCCUAUGGGUUGUAAACUUCUCUUCUCAGAAAAGAAUUAUGACGGUAUCUGAGGAAUAAGCAUCGGCUAACUCUGUGCCAGCAGCCGCGGUAAGACAGAGGAUGCAAGCGUUAUCCGGAAUGAUUGGGCGUAAAGCGUCUGUAGGUUGUUUAAAAAGUAUUCUGUCAAAGAUUAGGGCUUAACCCUAGAUAGGCAGAAUAAACUUUUAAGCUAGAGUCUGGUAGAGGCAGAGGGAAUUCCCGGUGGAGCGGUGAAAUGCGUAGAUAUCGGGAGGAACACCAAAGGCGAAGGCACUCUGCUGGGCCAAUACUAACACUGAGAGACGAAAGCGAGGGGAGCAAAUGGGAUUAGAAACCCUGGUAGUCC